UAUUCAGCCGGAUCGGAUAUACUUUAAUUUGUUAUUAAUCGGACAUUUUGAUAUACAGUAUAAUAAUACCGUAUAUCAAAAUGUCCGAUUAAUAACAAAUUAAAGUAUAUCCGAUCCGGCUG
rnacentral:miRNA from 1 species